AAGAAAUGCUAGCCAUUGAGCAAGCGAUCCGUCAACUCGCCUGCAAACUCAAGAUCAUCACCGAGGAAAACUCUAAACUGGAAAAGAAAAUGGGAGAUUUGAAAAAAGAAUGCUCUGAACUGACACAGUGUUCCACCUUUAAUGAGAAUAUGAAAAUUCGCCUUUCCGACAGUGUCACACUGUUAUCAGAAGCCUUGACUGAGAAAUGGGCUGAGGGUGACAUUAUUU